rnacentral:misc_RNA from 1 species
GAUGAAGAACGUAGCGAAGUGCGAUAAGCAAUGCGAAUUGCAGAAUUCCGCGAAUCAUCAGAUCUUUGAACGCAAAUGGCGUCAGAGGGAUAUCCUUCUGACAUGUCUGUUUCAGUGUCUGAGAGGUUUCAUAAUAAUCUUAAUGUGAUUGAAUUCAGUUUAUUUUUGGGUGUUUUACUAUAUCCAAAUAAUAUACUGCUCUUUUCUCUCAUGAAAGAUGCGCAAGGGGAUCUUUCGGUCCAAUGAAGUGGUCACAUCACUCGAAUGUGAUUUCAUUGGAAGCACCGAAUUAUCAUUUUUAACUUGCGGUAUCAUAAAACCAAUUAUUAUUAGGUGUUUUUAUUAACAUCGCAAAUAAUAAUAUUCUCUAUACCCUGCAUCUGAGAUAGGCAAGAUCACCCGCUGAACUUAAGCAUAUCAAUAAGCGGAGGA